rnacentral:tRNA from 1 species
GCCUUAGUGGUGGAACGGUAUACACGCUGGCUUCAAACUCCAGUGCCGAAAGGAUUGGGAGUUCGAAUCUCCCCUAAGGCA